CAACCUGAGAGUUUGAUCCUGGCUCAGAGCGAACGCUGGCGGCAGGCCUAACACAUGCAAGUCGAACGCCCCUUCGGGGGAGUGGCGGACGGGUGAG
rnacentral:ncRNA from 1 species